AGAGCGAACGCUGGCGGCAGGCCUAACACAUGCAAGUCGAGCGCCCGUAGCAAUACGGGAGCGGCAGACGGGAUAGUAACACGUGGGAACGCGCCCUUCGGUUCGGAAUAACUCAGGGAAACUUGAGCUAAUACCGGAUACGCCCUUACGGGGAAAGAUUUAUUGCCGAAGGAACGGCCCGCGUCCGAUUAGCUAGUUGGUGAGGUAAUGGCUCACCAAGGCGACGAUCGGUAGCUGGUCUGAGAGGAUGACCAGCAUCACUGGGACUGAGACACGGUCCAGACUCCUACGGGAGGCAGCAGUGGGGAAUAUUGGACAAUGGGCGCAAGCCUGAUCCAGCCAUGCCGCGUGGAUGAUGAAGGCCCUAGGGUUGUAAAGUCCUUUCGACGGGGAAGAUAAUGACGGUACCCGUAGAAGAAGCCCCGGCUAACUUCGUGCCAGCAGCCGC
rnacentral:rRNA from 1 species